rnacentral:rRNA from 1 species
AUUGAACGCUGGCGGCAGGCCUAACACAUGCAAGUCGAACGGUAACAGGAAGAAGCUUGCUUCUUUGCUGACGAGUGGCGGACGGGUGAGUAAUGUCUGGGAAACUGCCUGAUGGAGGGGGAUAACUACUGGAAACGGUAGCUAAUACCGCAUAACGUCGCAAGACCAAAGAGGGGGACCUUCGGGCCUCUUGCCAUCGGAUGUGCCCAGAUGGGAUUAGCUAGUAGGUGGGGUAACGGCUCACCUAGGCGACGAUCCCUAGCUGGUCUGAGAGGAUGACCAGCCACACUGGAACUGAGACACGGUCCAGACUCCUACGGAAGGCAGCAGUGGGGAAUAUUGCACAAUGGGCGCAAGCCUGAUGCAGCCAUGCCGCGUGUAUGAAGAAGGCCUUCGGGUUGUAAAGUACUUUCAGCGGGGAGGAAGGGAGUAAAGUUAAUACCUUUGCUCAUUGACGUUACCCGCAGAAGAAGCACCGGCUAACUCCGUG